rnacentral:rRNA from 1 species
UACGUAGGGCGCAAGCGUUGUCCGGAAUCAUUGGGCGUAAAGCGCGCGUAGGCGGCCCGGUAAGUCCGUUGUGAAAGUCAAAGGCUCAACCUUUGAACGCCGAUGGAUACUGCCGGGCUAGAGUCCGGAAGAGGCGAGUGGAAUUCCUGGUGUAGCGGUGGAAUGCGCAGAUAUCAGGAGGAACACCAAUAGCGAAGGCAGCUCGCUGGGACGGUACUGACGCUGAGGCGCGAAAGCGUGGGGAGCGAACAGG